rnacentral:tRNA from 1 species
GGCGGGGUAGCUCAGUUGGUUAGAGCAGCGGAAUCAUAAUCCGCGUGUCGGGGGUUCAAAUCCCUCCCCCGCUA